rnacentral:siRNA from 1 species
GAAUUGGUACUACCGAUAUCUGG